AACCCUUGUCUUUAGUUACCAUCAUUAAGUUGGGGACUCUAGAGAGACUGCCGGUGAUAAACCGGAGGAAGGUGGGGAUGACGUCAAAUCAUCAUGCCCCUUAUGGCCUGGGCUACAAACGUAAUACAAUGGCGUAUACAAAGGGAUGCGAAAGGGCGACCUGGAGCAAAACUCACAAAGUACGUCUCAGUUCAGAUUGGAGUCUGCAACUCGACUCCAUGAAGGCGGAAUCGCUAGUAAUCGCGGAUCAGCAUGCCGCGGUGAAUACGUUCUCGGGGUUU
rnacentral:rRNA from 1 species